rnacentral:rRNA from 1 species
GGGAGAGUUUCUUCGGGAACAAACCUAGCGGCGGACGGGUGAGUAACACGUGGGCAACCUGCCUUGUAGAGGGGAAUAGCCUUCCGAAAAGGGAAGAUUAAUACCGCAUAACAUUACAGUUUCGCAUGAAACAGUAAUUAAAGGAGCAAUCCGCUACAAGAUGGGCCCGCGGCGCAUUAGCUAGUUGGUGAGGUAACGGCUCACCAAGGCGACGAUGCGUAGCCGACCUGAGAGGGUGAUCGGCCACAUUGGGACUGAGACACGGCCCAGACUCCUACGGGAGGCAGCAGUGGGGAAUAUUGCACAAUGGGGGAAACCCUGAUGCAGCAACGCCGCGUGAGUGAUGAAGGUUUUCGGAUCGUAAAGCUCUGUCUUCGGGGACGAUAAUGACGGUACCCGAGGAGGAAGCCACGGCUAACUACGUG